rnacentral:rRNA from 1 species
GCAAGCCGAGCGGUAGAGAUUCUUCGGAAUCUUGAGAGCGGCGUACGGGUGCGGAACACGUGUGCAACCUGCCUUUAUCUGGGGGAUAGCCUUUCGAAAGGAAGAUUAAUACCCCAUAAUAUACUGAAUGGCAUCAUUUGGUAUUGAAAACUCCGGUGGAUAGAGAUGGGCACGCGCAAGAUUAGAUAGUUGGUGAGGUAACGGCUCACCAAGUCUGCGAUCUUUAGGGGGCCUGAGAGGGUGAUCCCCCACACUGGUACUGAGACACGGACCAGACUCCUACGGGAGGCAGCAGUGAGGAAUAUUGGACAAUGGGUGAGAGCCUGAUCCAGCCAUCCCGCGUGAAGGACGACGGCCCUAUGGGUUGUAAACUUCUUUUGUAUAGGGAUAAACCUUUCCACGUGUGGAAAGCUGAAGGUACUAUACGAAUAAGCACCGGCUAACUCCGUGCCAGCAGCCGCGGUAAUACGGAGGGUGCAAGCGUUAUCCGGAUUUAUUGGGUUUAAAGGGUCCGUAGGCGGAUCUGUAAGUCAGUGGUGAAAUCUCACAGCUUAACUGUGAAACUGCCAUUGAUACUGCAGGUCUUGAGUAAAGUAGAAGUGGCUGGAAUAAGUAGUGUAGCGGUGAAAUGCAUAGAUAUUACUUAGAACACCAAUUGCGAAGGCAGGUCACUAUGUUUUAACUGACGCUGAUGGACGAAAGCGUGGGGAGCGAACAGGAUUAGAUACCCUGGUAGUCCACGCCGUAAACGAUGCUAACUCGUUUUUGGGUUUUCGGAUUCAGAGACUAAGCGAAAGUGAUAAGUUAGCCACCUGGGGAGUACGUUCGCAAGAAUGAAACUCAAAGGAAUUGACGGGGGCCCGCACAAGCGGUGGAUUAUGUGGUUUAAUUCGAUGAUACGCGAGGAACCUUACCAAGGCUUAAAUGGGAAAUGACAGGUUUAGAAAUAGACUUUUCUUCGGACAUUUUUCAAGGUGCUGCAUGGUUGUCGUCAGCUCGUGCCGUGAGGUGUUAGGUUAAGUCCUGCAACGAGCGCAACCCCUGUCACUAGUUGCCAUCAUUAAGUUGGGGACUCUAGUGAGACUGCCUACGCAAGUAGAGAGGAAGGUGGGGAUGACGUCAAAUCAUCACGGCCCUUACGCCUUGGGCCACACACGUAAUACAAUGGCCGGUACAGAGGGCAGCUACACAGCGAUGUGAUGCAAAUCUCGAAAGCCGGUCUCAGUUCGGAUUGGAGUCUGCAACUCGACUCUAUGAAGCUGGAAUCGCUAGUAAUCGCGCAUCAGCCAUGGCGCGGUGAAUACGUUCCCGGGCCUUGUACACACCGCCCGUCAAGCCAUGGAAGUCUGGGGUACCUGAAGUCGGUGACC